rnacentral:rRNA from 1 species
UACGAAGGGUGCAAACGUUGCUCGGAAUUAUUGGGCGUAAAGCGCACGUAGGCGGCUUUGUAAGUUGGAUGUGAAAACCCUCGGCUCAACCAAGGAAGUGCAUCCAAAACUGCGAAGCUUGAGUACUUAAGAGGAUCGCGGAAUUCCCGGUGUAGAGGUGAAAUUCGUAGAUAUCGGGAGGAACACCAGUGGCGAAGGCGGCGAUCUGGGAAGAUACUGACGCUGAGGCGCGAAAGCUAGGGGAGCAAACGGG